AUUGAACGCUGGCGGCAUGCCUUACACAUGCAAGUCGAACGGCAGCACGGGUGCUUGCACCUGGUGGCGAGUGGCGAACGGGUGAGUAAUACAUCGGAACGUACCUUAUCGUGGGGGAUAACGCAGCGAAAGUUGCGCUAAUACCGCAUACGCCCUGAGGGAGAAAGCGGGGGACCGUAAGGCCUCGCGCGAUUAGAGCGGCCGAUGUCUGAUUAGCUUGUUGGUGAGGUAAAAGCUCACCAAGGCGAUGAUCAGUAGCUGGUCUGAGAGGACGAUCAGCCACACUGGGACUGAGACACGGCCCAGACUCCUACGGGAGGCAGAAGUGGGGAAUUUUGGACAAUGGGGGCAACCCUGAUCCAGCAAUGCCGCGUGAGUGAAGAAGGCCUUCGGGUUGUAAAGCUCUUUUGUCAGGGAAGAAACAGCAGCUCUAACACAGUCUGCGAAUGACGGUACCUGAAGAAUAAGCACCGGCUAACUACGUGCCAGCAGCCGCCGUAA
rnacentral:rRNA from 1 species